GAUGUUUCGAAUAUCCACAGCCAGUGCGGUUAUAUUUAUUCUUGAGCAGGUGGUGUUCUGAGUACAUGCUCCUCUGUUGAAAGGCUCACCUAGGGGCCAAGGAUACGCGAAGCAGCUCUUUGCAGUCAUGAUCCUGCUUGCUUACGUCUCCUGCUCUGGUUUACUGGAUCUACAGAUUGCCCUCUGACAGAAGACAACCUUCAAGAAAGAUGCAUUAGGUAGGAGUGAUCAUCACCCUUUUGAAAAGAAGAUCUGAUGGGAAAGAAAAUUUGUGGAAAAAGAAGAUGAGUUGAUGUAUGUAUAGUUUAUUUUGAAAAACCUUGUAUAACUUUUUGGAGUGCUGGACUUGUAGAACUUCUUGGAGUCUUGAAGAAAAAAGUUCUCGUAUAACUUUUUGAGAACUUUAGAUUUGUAUUAUUGUAAAAUUAAUUUCAAAUAUUAAUAGAUAUGUAUAUAUGUUAA